GGGGCUGUAGCUCAGCUGGGAGAGCGCUUGAAUGGCAUUCAAGAGGCCAGCGGUUCGAUCCCGCUCAGCUCCA
rnacentral:tRNA from 1 species